rnacentral:rRNA from 1 species
AGCGUGUGGUUUUAAUUCGUUUGCUACACGAAGAACCUUACCUGGGUUUGACAUAUAGGUGUAGGGAACUGAAAAGGGACCGACCCUUCGGGAGCCUAUACAGGUGUUGCAUGGCUGUCGUCAGCUCGUGUCGUGAGAUGUUCGGUUAAGUCCGCUAACGAGCGCAACCCUCGUCGUAUGUUAUAUGUGUCAUACGAGACUGCCGGUAAAAGCCGGAGGAAGGUGAGGAUGAUGUCAAGUCAGCAUGACCUUUAUAUCCAGGGCUACACACACGCUACAAUGGUCUGUACAAUGGGUAGCCAAGCCGCGAGGCGGAGCCAAUCCUGAAAGCAGGCCUCAGUUCAGAUUGCAGUCUGCAACUCGACUGCAUGAAGCCGGAGUUGCUAGUAACCGCAGGUCAGCAAUACUGCGGUGAAUACGUUCCCGGGUCUU